GACGAACGCUGGCGGCGUGCUUAACGCAUGCAAGUCGAACGGAAAGGCCUGCUUUCCCUUGUGGAUUGCGGGUACUCGAGUGGCGAACGGGUGAGUAACACGUGAGUGAUCUGCCCCCAACUUGGGUAUAAGCCUGGGAAACUGGGUCUAAUUCCCGAUAGGACUGCAGGGUGGUGCCUGUGGUGGAAAACGAUUUUCUAGUGGUUGGGGAUGAGCUCGCGGCCUAUCAGCUUGUUGGUGGGGUAAUGGCCUACCAAGGCGGCGACGGGUAACCGGCCUGAGAGGGUGGACGGCCACAUUGGGACUGAGAUACGGCCCAGACGCCUACGGGAGGCAGCAGUGGGGAAUAUUGCACGAUGGGCGGAAGCCUGAUGCAGCGACGCCGCGUGGGGGAUGACGGCCUUCGGGUUGUAAACUCCUUUCGACCGCGAGGAAGCCACCUGGUUGGAAGGGUGGUGACGGUAGUGGUAGAAGAAGCACCGGCUAACUACGUG
rnacentral:rRNA from 1 species